rnacentral:lncRNA from 1 species
GAAAUUGAGAAUAAGAAAGGUUAUACAACAUGGUCAAGGUGCACUUAGAAACUAAUACAGGUGGAAUUUAAUUCAGAACUCCAAAUUCCAAAUUCUAUGCUCACUUUAUUUUGCUAAGCCCCAGAGAACACAUUUUGAAGGAAGAGUUCAAAUUGCUGGGGCACCUGACAGGAACAUUACCAGUAUCAGCUCUCGCUGGGAGAAAUUCCACUCAAAGGGAGCAAGGACAUAGACUGUAUGCCAUAGAGCAUAGCACAUGCUAAUAAUGGUGGUGUUUAUAAGAAUUGGAAGAAUCUGUUUGCAUCAGCAAUGACAGGAAGGAAGGCUGCCUUCUCUUGUUGAGAAUCUAAUCAGUUGUACUUUUAGGUAGAGUCUGAGAUUACAGAUCUUGAAGAAACUGUGAAAAACAUUGGGAUAGGAACUCAGUUAUAUUGUUAAACUCUGCAUGACUGGCCCAUACCAUAUAGGAAGGGGCGUGUCUUUGAAUGCUGAGUUUAGAAGGAAAAACUAGGAGUGUAAUCCAGAUUCUUACCCUCUUUUCUUCAUAUUAAGAGCUGGCAUCCCCACAAAGCCUGUGUCCUCAUCUGCUCCUCCAGACUGCAAGUUUUACAGAUGUGGGUACCAGACAUGGAGAUUUGUAGAUGCCAACAUCAUACAUGAGUUUUACAGAUACAGGUACUAUGUACAGUUUUACAGAUGCAGGCACCAUACGUGGAGAUCACUGGUGACAGAAUCUUCCUUGCAAGCCUAUCACUGGGAACAGAAAGUGCAUAUGCGACCAGUAGGAGGCAAGCACAUGGAGCCCAGAGAAUUCCUCUCACUGAAUUAUUAUCUUAGAAAAGGUCCUACUUUACACAAGAUCAGAGUCCAACUCUCCGAAAGCCAGGUUUGGAUUCACAGAAAGUGGAAGGUAAAAGUUAUGACCAUUUUUAGAAGCAAAUUCUGUUUUUAUUAAGAAUAGAAUUUGGCUUUGGUCACAUCUUUGCUGGUUUCCUACUUUGAGAGACAUUUUUCUUUCCCGAGCAAUGUUCCUCUUUAAUUUUCUUCUUAGCAUCAGGACAAAAAUAGCUGGCUGAACCCCAUAUUCAAAG